rnacentral:lncRNA from 1 species
GCCUCUAGCGGAAAAUCACACAACGCCCAGAUACUGCUUGAGGCCGAAAGCGCCUGGCAAGAUAUGCGGGGGAGGCCCGUUUACCUCAUGGUAUUUCGAUUCCCACAGUCGUUUUUGCAAAGCCUUCACCUUCGGUGGAUGCAAUGGGAACCUGAACAGGUUUUCUUCCGAAAGACAGUGUCAGCGAUGGUGCUUACGUGGAAUUCCAGAGAAACCGCUGUGUAGCUUGGAUCAAGUUCAAGGACAUGGCAUCGGCCGCUUCUUCGCCUGGUCAUAUGACUCCAAAGUAGACCAUUGUCGUCCAUUUCUGUACAGUGAUUGGGGUGGCAAUGCUAACAACUUUGGAAGUUGUCUUGAGUGCAUGAAUAGAUGCAGUGGAAACGAAUACGCUACGUAUAUAUGCCAUAUUCUGAAUUAUCAGAUUAUGGUGUACUACUACAAGAGACUUCCAUUCAGCUUU